CUAAAACGGGCUCUGUAUUCUUUGGGAGAUUUUAGGCACAUAAGUUAUUCUUUUAAAGGAUCUCUACUGACAUCCACAGGUACUAUAAUUAACAUCUCAGGGCUUCAUGGGCCGGAAGUGUUCCGUCAUCCCUAAGAACACCUAGCCCCUUCCUGGUCUCCUCCGGCCUUUAUCGUUAGGGGUUGUCCGACCCUCCCCUUUUCCUCCGUGCUGCCCUCUCCUCCCUGUACACAUAUUCAUCCCAGAUGUGGACAUUCACACACUCCAUUUUUUUAACCCCCAAGUCGUGAACUCAGUUCUCUGAAAAAAUCAAAAAGAUUCCGGUCACUGGACAUUUAAUUUGCAUUUUAACUGGAGACUCCCUGGCUGUAGCAUAAUCCCCCACCCAGACUGUGUCACUGACCAGGGCGAUGUCCAACAAACAGGAGGAAGAACUGACGAAAUGAGGAAGGAGAUGGUGUUACUGUCAUAUGGGGGACCCUAGAGGAUGGCAUAAAUCACAGAAAACCCACUAAAGUGCAGGCCCUUAGAGAAGAAAUCGAAAAUGCAUAUGCAGCCAUCUCAAUGCCCAAGCAGCAAUUUGCUGUACUAAUAAAUGUCUGGACGCUCAUGGCCACCAAUAUAAGCAUCUCUUGUAAUUGUAGAGGGCAAAGGUAACUUGUAUGAAUCUCAUGAUGUCUCAAUAAAUUUA
rnacentral:lncRNA from 1 species